rnacentral:lncRNA from 1 species
UUAUCCAUUUUCUAAGUGGAUAAUAUGGUUCUUAUCCAUAUUUGACUCAUUUUUAAAAAGUUCAUUAUCCAAUCCAUUUUUUAAUGGACAAUAUGGUGGGUAAUUAUUUUCUUUUAACCAUUUUGUCACCAUCAUCUACCCGCAUGCCUAGGAUUAGACAUCUGGAGCAUGGAUAAUAUAACAUGGAGGUCCAACAUCAUGUAAA